UGGAUCGCUAUUUCAAUACAAAAACUUUUUUAAGUAAAUUCAAUGAAAAAUCGCAUAAAUUUACUAAUUUUCAAGUACUUUUACGAUAUUUUGAUAUUUUAAAAGAUUAUCCACAAUGUGCCAAAAACCGCAAAAAUGACGCUAUCAUGGAUUUGGCGAAGGAAAUUGCUGCAAUUGGGAAAAAAGAUGUAGCGAAUAUCAGAAAAAAGUUUUUAGCAUUGCUCAAAAAAUAUGUAACUCAAAAGAUUAAUGCACGGCGAAAUCCAGAUUGUGCCACAAAAUUUGUGAAAGAACAAGAAAAAAUUGUUUUUGUUGUUCGUGUAUCUCCACCGGAUCAAUUAGGAGAUGCUG